rnacentral:lncRNA from 1 species
UUGAUUGCAAAUUCAGACAUCGUUUGUGGGGGACGACCAUGAUGAAAUCGACUUGAGUUCCUGGGGAGCAAGAUGCGGCACACCGACGUUUUUGUCUGCACCCGAAGUGCCCUUCGAGCGAACACACGUGAACGAGAGAUUGCUCGAGGAAGAAGGAAGACACAGGUAUUUUUCGCUGCACGAACUUCAGAGCUUUGUUCUUCUAUUUCUCUUCUCUGUAUUCAGACUUACAGAACGGAAACAGGGCUUCACGCAGCUGGCUUUUGCCGUCAUGAUCCACGAGCAUACCGACGAGGCGUGAGAGUCGCUUAGGCUGUUAUACCCGCGAGCUAAACUAGCUAACAGAAAGAAAGCGUUCGAGCCUAACCUGACGAAAAAUCGAAGUUCUAACUGAGAUAACUGAAAACGUGACAG